rnacentral:lncRNA from 1 species
CAAUUUGUAUUUUUAUGAUUUGAUACUAUGUACGUCUUUCAACAUAGGUAAACAUAUUUAGAUAUAUACAAAACGUUCACAGUAUUUAUCAACAGAUGGACUGUUUAUUGAAAAAGCAAAAUGUACGAAAACGUCACCAUGCGACGUCAUCAAAACGUCAUCUUUUUAAAAUUAGCAAAUACAAUAUAUUAUAAGUAUCCAUUUCGUAAAAUAUGAAGAGUAAGCAUGGACUUAUAUCCAAUUGUUCAAAAAAUAUGAAGAAAUUAAACAAAAGCUCGGUUAUUAGACUUUUGACGAUGUGAAUUUAAGCAUGGAUGCAAUUUGGGUACUCCUCAUUACAGAAUCAUGGAUAGUUUGGAGGUUGAUUCAAACCCAUUUUUUUUAUGACUCAAUAUGGAUUCAAAAUUAAAUUGGUGUACCUAUACAAUAAAGAAGGACAGGGCUACAAAAUAAACACAGUAUGGACAUUUUUUUCUUGAUCAUAAAAAAACGUAGGUGAAAAAACUGUCAAAAUAGGUGCAAUUUGGGUACCCUCACGUUACAG